CCCUUAGAUGUUCUGGGCCGCACGCGCGCUACACUGAUGCAUUCAACGAGUUUCUUCCUGGUCCGAGAGGAAUGGGUAACCUUUUGAAAGUGCAUCGUGAUAGGGAUAGACUAUUGCAAUUAUUGGUCUUCAACGAGGAAUGCCUAGUAAACGCAAGUCAUCAGCUUGCAUUGAUUACGUCCCUGCCCUUUGUACACACCGCCCGUCGCUCCUACCGAUUGAAUGUUCCGAUGAAUACCAUGGACUGAGAGUAUGAAUGGGUUCGCCUAUUUCUGCUUCUCGGGAAGUGGAGUAAAUCUUAACAUUUAGAGGAAGGAGAAGUCGUAACA
rnacentral:rRNA from 1 species